rnacentral:snoRNA from 1 species
AAGACCUUACUUCAUAGGAUCAUUUCUAUAGUAAGUUCUUCACGAGACAGGAAUGAAGGUUUUAAGCACAGAUUUUGACCUCAGAGCCAAACUGUGAGU